rnacentral:rRNA from 1 species
GGCCAGACUCCUACGGGAGGCAGCAGUGGGGAAUAUUGCACAAUGGGGGAAACCCUGAUGCAGCGACGCCGCGUGAGCGAUGAAGUAUUUCGGUAUGUAAAGCUCUAUCAGCAGGGAAGAAGAUGACGGUACCUGACUAAGAAGCCCCGGCUAACUACGUGCCAGCAGCCGCGGUAAUACGUAGGGGGCAAGCGUUAUCCGGAUUUACUGGGUGUAAAGGGGGCGCAGACGGCGAUGCAAGCCAGGAGUGAAAGCCCGGGGCCCAACCCCGGGACUGCUCUUGGAACUGCGUGGCUGGAGUGCAGGAGGGGCAGGCGGAAUUCCUGGUGUAGCGGUGAAAUGCGUAGAUAUCAGGAGGAACACCGGUGGCGAAGGCGGCCUGCUGGACUGCAACUGACGUUGAGGCCCGAAAGCGUGGGGAGCAAACAGGAUUAGAUACCCGCGUA